rnacentral:lncRNA from 1 species
CUAAACAUCAGGCAUUAUUUUUAUUUAUGGAGAGAAAAAAAAAGUCAAAAGUUAGAAUAAUGAAAAUUACGCAUAGGUUUUACACAAAUUGUUAAGGAAAUACUGUCAACAUCAUUUUAUCUGAGAAUCAUUUGCAUACUGCUGUAACUUGAGCUAGAAAUCAAAGGAACACUUGUGACAAAAAGGAUGAAGAUCAUCAUUCACUAGGAAACAAUCUAUUUUGAGAUUAUCUGGGAAGAAAAAGUCCAUCAACAGAAGAUAUCCUCCUAGUAUUUCACCAUGAUCAUCCCAACCCCACAGUUAUUAGAUGAAAAUGUCACUUAUCACUCAGAACAGGCAACAGAGAGCCCUCUCUUAAAAAAAGGGCACAGGUCAAAAAACGAAAGAUGAAAAAAUGGCAGGUUCUCCUCCCUCAAGAAACAAAGAACAGGACUAAACUUGAACAGAAAGGUCACUGUCAAAAGCUGAUAGCCAGUAAAGGUUGAUGACAGUUACAAGAACAGUUUCCCUUUUGGAAUUUAACUGCAUAAAAAUGUUGUAAAAUCUCUCAACUGUCUAGUAAAGGACAAACACGACUUCUGUGAUAAGAGUCUUCAGAACCGCCUUAGUGAACAGAAGGAAAAUAGAACCCAACCCCAGUUCCAUCAUCCGCCGCACAUCUAAACGUUCACUUGCCCCACAUCACACCAGGCAUAGUGGCUGUUCUUCUGGUGAUGAAGAGCCAGGGUGAGUCAGCCUUCAGGUCACCAAAUUGACAGAGCUUAAUGAUAAGGGCAAAUGACUCAAAUCAGUUUACAAAUGGGACACAUACGAGAACGUUACCAAAAAAUGAUCUUAACCUCAAGAUUAAACUGUUGGGAGAACCCCCGUCGUCCAGCUUUACAGUCACCCAGUGAUCUGAAGGGCCUAAAAGACAGGCUCGUCCCCUCAGAUGUACGCCGCCGCCUCUCUGCUUACAGGAAUUCUGCAGUAAGUAUUUCACUUCUUUAACUAAUAUGCCCAGUUUCUUAAAACGUUAGAAAUAUCCUGUGAGCGAUGGGAUAUUAAGCUUGAACUCUGAUGUGUUUCACAAGUUGUGACUCGGUUUGGGGAUGAAGGCAUGGAGUCUCAUGGCAGAGAGACGGAGGACAAGAAGGGACUGAACAAACGGCUUCUUUCCAACUCCCUCUAGGGUUCAUACCCCAAAAUGCAUUAAAGGUCAAGGGUCUAAAAGGAUUAUUACCUCACGAGCAACCUGUGAAAUAGAAAUAAAAACUUUCUGAUAAGGAAAUAUUGCCAAAUAUUGGAAAAGAUUGAGUCCCUUUCCUAAAUAUUCUUAUUAACUUUUACCUGAAUGAUUUAUAAUCCCCUGUUAAUCUCAGAAUCUAAACAUACAUAAUUUAAAACAAUUCAUUCUGGAUGUCGUGUAUCUCUUGUUGAAUUUAGCUAUGUGACUGCAGGUGAUUAAUUACCUUAACGGUUCCAUUUACUAAACAGUAUCCUGCUUAAAUGUAUUUUGUACAGGUUAAAAAAUGUUUAAAGAACUGCAUAUGAAAAUACUAUACAAUGUUACAUGAAACGCUUUUUUUUCUUGACAGAAUUUGUCUUCAGUAUUGGGAGAGUUUCCGAUCCCCUAAACUAGCAGAUCUCAGGCGUGUUCUCCACUUUCAUCUAUGCUUUCUUCAUAAAAAGUUGCAUUUCAUUUGGCUAUACCCUUGCAAUUUUAAAAAUGUUCUGCUAAAGUAUAAAAAGGUAAGGGUAUGUGACUUUCAAAUAUCAUGAACCUAAAAAUACUUCACUUUUACUAUAAUUUUAUAAAUUUAUUUUGCUCUCUCUUCAUCUAAAUGUACUUUAACCUUCUUUUCUACUGGUUAUCCCCAAAGCACUACAAGGCACAGAAGUGAUCUAUGAAUGGUGAGUCAGGCCACAGGGUCACAUCCUCAGUAAGGACACAGGAGGCCAUCUUGGACUGAGAAUGGACAGU